GCUUUUACCACGUGGACGAACCGUGUAUUUUUGCAUCGGGCUGCUAGGAUGCCAUUAAAGAUUUCUCCAAAUUAUUUUAGCGAUUGUGAUCGAGACGUUAUGGAUUUUGUCGCUGUUGAUUUUAUUUUCAUCUUUAAGUUUUUCAGCUCCGCUGGAUUAUUGCGCAAAUGGCAAGGUGCACAGUGAAGUCCAUCCUGACUGGCGGUAUCACAUCCUGGUACAACACCCGCUCAACUGAAGAAUAAAAUGCACUGCAGUGGAUAAUGAAGGUGGCCCUGAAUAUUACUGCAUCACAUGGUGGUUGCUAGAGGACACUGCCUAAGUGAUGUUAUGUGUGCAACAUGCACUUUAGUCAGGGCAUCUGGACAUUUGGAUUAACACAAGACCUCAUGUAAUUCAUCUCUAACUUUUAGUCCUUUCCUUUCUGAGACUGAAAGGCUUUUAUUUCAAAUAAAUACAGGCUCACACACAUUUCUUUGGGAUAUGGAGUAAACUGGAGAGUCUGGGGGAAACCCAAGCAGGCAAAAUUAGAAUCUGCAAACUCAGUGAGCCAGCAUGAGACUUGAACAGUGAUGCCUUCAGCUUCAAUAGCAAUCUGAACUGCUGUGCAACAGUCUAGAUUACACAGAUUUCCAUGUAUUUUUGUGUGAAGAAAUGCUCCAGGUUUCAUUCCUAAUAAAAACAAGAACUACUUGAUGCUACAAAGUCAGCAUGGACCAAAAACCCCAAGGAAGGCUUCAAGCACCUUAUUGAAUGAAGGCCUCCGUGAAAGAAUUUAUGUAAGCAAAAAUGGCUCUGCAGGUCUAGAAGACUGGUGUACCUAAUAAGGUCAUUGACUGUACAUUGAAAAUCAAAGGUGGAAAAAUAAACAGAAUAAUAUUUACAAGAUGACGCAGUGGUUAUGUACAUUACCUGACUUUUGCUAACAAUUGGGUUCUGUUUUUAGUAACCUUGUGGAGUUUGAGCAUUCUGUUUGUCAACUACAAUUACAAAGACAGACAUGUUAGCUCAACUGGCCCAGUAUGAGUGUGUGCAUGAGUAUUAUGUGAUGAAAAAUCUUUUCAAUUAUUGGGUCCUAGGUUUUCUCUGACUCAAUUGAGAAAGACUUUUAGCACUCUGUGAUGCUCUGUCCACUUCACUGGCUCAGUACUCCUUGUCUAACAUCUCAUUUAACAUUUGAUAUUGCACUGUUGUCAAUUUGAUUUUGUUCUUCAUUGUUAAUAAAGUCAUCUCUGCCCAGACUGAUGACUGCCUUUGCCUAAAGUAGACAUGAAAAUAACUGCCUGCCAUGCUUGCUUGCUGAAAGAUAAAAAUAGCAUGGAUAUCAGAGCCAGCCAGCACUUGGAUGAACAGCCAGUCAUUAAUAAGAAUAACAAUCUCACAUCUGUUCGUGUUUACUUCAAGUGAGUUCAGUUUUAAUUAGGCACUCAUGGCAGAAACUUCCAUGUUGGACCUGUGAAUGCAAACUAAACCUAGGGAGCCUCCGAUCAAGCUCCCGUAGAAGUGUGCAACAUGGCACAACAUCUGGCCAGACACGAGAGGCCUUUAGGAUGUAAAGGUUGUGUAAGCUCAGCAGAGCCAUUUUAACACUACAUCUGGCUUGGUUCUAAUCAUAAAUACCCAUCACUCUACAAAUUAAAAUGCAAGAUUGGCCCCUCAAGGGUUGCUGACAGAAGAGCUGCAUUUUGAGAUCUCAGCUAGAAGUGAAACAUUUAAAUACACUAAUAACAUCACAAAGAAGCAUGAGUGCCAUUUUCUGAGUACACUAAGCCCUUCAUGAUAAACAGGCCUCUUAAAAUUUACAUGCUCUUUUCUGCAGGAUUUUUUGGUCUGCAGACAACGCGCAUUAAAAAACUGCAGCUGCUUACAGGGGCUUGAAAAAUACCAACUGUCAUGGGAGUCCUCAGCACUGAAUGCCUGUGGAUUUGAAAAUUCUUUCUAGUGCUGGCCACUGCCUGCAACACAGGAUGCUAAAGGAUGACAUUCACAAUAGAAAGGCACUCAAUGAACAUAAGUUGUCCAUUUUCAGGAUUCUGUUGGUAUUUAUUGUGAGGUGGUGAGGAGCUUGAGUUUACUAUGUUUCUUGUUGUAAAAUUGUUCCACUACUAUUUUAUUCCUGCAAUAUAUAAAUAACUAAAUAUAUAAGUAAAUAGGUUAAUAAAAAAACAGUUCUUUCAAUCACAAACCCACUAGUAGUAGUAGUAUUGUCAUAUGUGCAGAGUAAAGUGAAAUCUUUGCUUGUCUGUCUAACAUGCAACACACAGGAAUGUAUUACUAUACAAAUAUUCAUUUUAUUGAAUAAAAACACAUUUCAGCUACAACACAGAUAUUGAUGAACUGAUUUCUCGAUUGACUAGCUAGAUGAACCUUUACUUCUCCAGAUCAACUCUUAAAUGUUUUGUCCAUAAAUGUUAAUACUUUCUGGUGGUUCCAGUUAUGCUGUAUUUUCAGCAAAAAGUGCCUGGUGGGCGCUUUCACUUUUGUAAAUAAACUUAUGUGCGAUCUCUUUGUAAUUAUAAGCCAAUAAAACUGAAAAAAUGAUGAAUACUGUAUCAGCAUUUGAAGAGCCAUCAAUUGGCUAGAUUUCACCAACCUCUGGGUCAGUCAGCUUUUCCAGCUGAUCUCCUCCACUGAAAGAGUAGUCACUUGGUCAUUUAAAGAGCCUCCUUUUCAAAUCACAACACAGACCUCAUAGCAGUCAGUUAUUCUGUGCUUCCAGUGGCAGUGUAGUUUCCCUACGUGUUAUAGAGUGUUUGCUUUCAGUUAAAGUACAUCCUCUUCAUCAAUGGAUAUCUGAUUCCAGUAAGCUUGCAGUCAUUAAGUUGUCAGGGUUUGUCUCUUCGUCCAUUUAAAGUGGAGCCCUUUGAUCACUCAGGUAGCUUCAACCUGCAGUCACAAUGUAGCUCCUCACUCACUCAAUGAAGCACCAUUUUCAGCCACAGCAAAGUCUCUUGAUACACAAUGAGGCUUCACUACUGCCCUUAAUUAGUCAGUAAGUCUCCACUUCUAUUCACAGAUUGGAUUUUCAAUUGGUCAGCAAGUCUCCACCUCAUUCCACAAGGAAGUCUCUCACUUCUGCAGUGAGCCAUCACCUUUAUCCCUAGUGUGACCUCUUGAUCAAUCAAUGAGUCAUUGUCCGAAAGCACAGCUCUUACUUUCUCCUGUCAAAGUUCAUUGUCGCUUGUUCACUGAACCACGUCUCCCAGCCACCGUGCACCAUUUCACUUGGUCAGGAAGUAUCUAUUUUCAGGGACAGUACAGCGUUUGACAAACUCAGAUGAGUCUGCCACCAAUUACAGAAAACCUUUUUGAUUGUUGAGCAAGUUAUCACCCCAAGCCUCUAGACAGCUUCUUAUUCCAUCAGCCCUAGUCCAAAGAGUAGCCUUUCUCUUGCAUGUCUGAUAUCAACUGCUUACUGCAUGCUUUAAUGGCACAUCUCUGACUCUCUGUGUUUAAUUAUUUUAAUAAAAUUAACAGAUUACAAA